rnacentral:rRNA from 1 species
AAAAAUUUAAAUUAAUUUACUAAAAAAUUAAUAGUUAUGUUCUUUAAAUUUAAAAAAUUUGGCGGUAUUUUAGUCUUAUUAGAGGAAUCUGUUUAUUAAUUGAUAAUCCACGAUUAAUUUUACUUAUUUUAAUUAAUUCAUAUAUCGCUGUCAUGAAUAUAUUUUAAAAAAUUUAUUUUCUUUAAUUAUUUUAAUAAUUUAUGUUAAGUCAAGAUGUGGUUUAUAAAUAAGAAUAUAAUGGAUUACAUUAAAUUUUAUUUUUGGAUUUUGAAUGAAAAUUAAAAUGAAAUUGGAUUUAAUAGUAAGUUUAAUUAUUUUAUUAAUAUGAAUAAAGAUCUA